UGGUGGAGUGAUUUGUCUGGUUAAUUCCGUUAACGAACGAGACCUCGACCUGCUAAAUAGUUGGACAAAGGUUCGCCUUUGAUUCGACUUCUUAGAGGGACUAUCGGUGUGUAGCCGACGGAAGUUCGAGGCAAUAACA
rnacentral:rRNA from 1 species